AACGAACGCUGGCGGCAUGCCUAACACAUGCAAGUCGAACGAGACCUUCGGGUCUAGUGGCGCACGGGUGCGUAACGCGUGGGAACCUGCCCUUAGGUUCGGAAUAACUCCCCGAAAGGGGUGCUAAUACCGGAUAAUGUCUUCGGACCAAAGAUUUAUCGCCUUUGGAUGGGCCCGCGUUGGAUUCGCUAGUUGGUAGGGUAAAAGCCUACCAAGGCGACGAUCCAUAGCUGGUCUGAGAGGAUGAUCAGCCACACUGGGACUGAGACACGGCCCAGACUCCUACGGGAGGCAGCAGUGGGGAGUAUUGGACAAUGGGCGAAAGCCUGAUCCGGCAAUGCCGCGUGAGUGAUGAAGGCCUUAGGGUUGUAAAGCUCUUUUACCCGGGAUGAUAAUGACAGUACCGGGAGAAUAAGCUCCGGCUAACUCCGUG
rnacentral:rRNA from 1 species